rnacentral:hammerhead_ribozyme from 1 species
AUUCAGCUGAUGAGUCCCAAAUGUGACGAAACGCGCGUCCUGGAU